rnacentral:rRNA from 1 species
UACGUAGGGGGCAAGCGUUGUCCGGAUUUAUUGGGCGUAAAGAGCGUGUAGGCGGCCAGGUAGGUCGGUUGUGAAAACUGGAGGCUCAACCUUCAGAGGUCGACCGAAACCAUCUGGCUAGAGUCCGGGAGAGGAGAGUGGAAUUCCUGGUGUAGCGGUGAAAUGCGCAGAUAUCAGGAAGAACACCCGUGGCGAAGGCGGCUCUCUGGGACGGUACUGACACUGAGACGCGAAAGCGUGGGGAGCGAACAGG